GAGAGAGAGAGAGAGAGAGAGAGAGAGAGAGAGAGAGAGAGAGAGAGAGAGAGAUCAAGAGAGAGAGAUGACAAUGGUGAUUAGGAGAAGAAGAGAUCAAGCCGUUUCAUAUACUGAAGAGAUGGGGGUAGUUAUGUGGUGGAGUGCACGCAAGCACCAGUGAUUGUUAUUUGCUGAUGUAUGGGAGAAUGAGGGAUACUUAAAGCACUCCAAUGGAUCAUAUAUUUUCCAUGUAUAUUUAAAGUCAUCAAUUAUUUUUCUAAAAAGGAGCUCCAAUGGAUAAUCAUGUAUUUUAUCUAC